rnacentral:rRNA from 1 species
GGGGGUCCUCGGGGGAGUGGCAGACGGGUGAGUAACGCGUGGGAACCUACCUUUAGGUACGGAAUAACAGUUAGAAAUGACUGCUAAUACCGUAUGUGCCCGAGAGGGGAAAGAUUUAUCGCCUAAAGAUGGGCCCGCGUUGGAUUAGCUAGUUGGUGAGGUAACGGCUCACCAAGGCGACGAUCCAUAGCUGGUUUGAGAGGAUGAUCAGCCACACUGGGACUGAGACACGGCCCAGACUCCUACGGGAGGCAGCAGUGGGGAAUAUUGGACAAUGGGGGAAACCCUGAUCCAGCCAUGCCGCGUGAGUGAUGAAGGCCUUAGGGUUGUAAAGCUCUUUCGCUGGGGAAGAUAAUGACGGUACCCAGUAAAGAAGCCCCGGCUAACUUCGUGCCAGCAGCCGCGGUAAUACGAAGGAGGCUAGCGUUGUUCGGAAUUACUAGGCGUAAAGCGCACGUAGGCGGGUAUUUAAGUCAGGGGUGAAAUCCCGGAGCUCAACUCCGGAACUGCCUUUGAUACUGGAUACCUUGAGUUCGAGAGAGGUGAGUGGAAUUCCGAGUGUAGAGGUGAAAUUCGUAGAUAUUCGGAGGAACACCAGUGGCGAAGGCGGCUCACUGGCUCGAUACUGACGCUGAGGUGCGAAAGCGUGG